GGCAAUGGGAAGACGUGAUGCGGAGUGAAGUUUAGUAAUGAAGUCCGUGAGCUGUGCGUCAAGAAAAGCCGCUAUUGUUCAUACCAUACCCGUACCGUAAACCGACACAGGUGAUGAGGAGAGAAUCCUAAGGCCGGCGGAAGAAGCAUUGUCAAGGAACUCGGCAAAAUGACCCCGUAACUUCGGGAGAAGGGGUGCCUGCGAGAGCAGGCCGCAGAGAAUAGGCUCAAGCAACUGUUUAGCAAAAACACAGGUCUAUGCGAAACCGAAAGGUGAGGUAUAUGCUGACGCCUGCCCGGUGCUGGAAGGUUAAGAGGAGAGGUUAGCGGUAACGCGAAGCUUUGAAUUUAAGCCCCAGUAAACGGCGGCCGUAACUAUAACGGUCCUAAGGUAGCGAAAUUCCUUGUCGGGUAAGUUCCGACCCGCACGAAAGGCGUAAUGAUUUGAGCGCUGUCUCGACAAUGCAUCCGGUGAAAUUGAAGUACCAGUGAAGAUGCUGGUUACCUGCGCCAGGACGGAAAGACCCCAUGGAGCUUUACUCCAGUUUGGUACUGGGAUCCGGUACUGCAUGUACAGGAUAGGUGGGAGGCUGAGAAUCGGUAACGCCAGUUGCCGAGGAGCCGCUGUUGGGAUACCACC
rnacentral:rRNA from 1 species